ACAUGGCUGCUCGUCCUAUUUCGGCGUCGCGGCGUGGCCACCAGCCCCCGGAUCCGAGUUGGGAGAGGUUCCGAAGGCGCCGAAUGGCUACCGAGGAGCCCACCCCCGAGAAAGACGGGCCCGGGGGCUCGUGCCGAGGGGCGCCAGGGUCCAAAGAGGAUCCCGCGCCGGCGGAAUUCAAUCAAUAAACCCCGAACCCACGGCCGCGCGUUUUAGGACUUUGAAGGCUCAACCAGCUCCGCUCGGUUCUCGAGCCCCCAGCACCCGCGGCGCACACUAACCUGAUCACGGUGGAGGCGGGACCUGCAGCCCUGCGGUCGAGCGGCAGCAGCUUGAGCCAAUUGCCGCCGAGGGUCUCCGGGCAA